UACAGAGGGGGCAAGCGUUAUUCGGAAUUAUUGGGCGUAAAGGGCGCGUAGGCGGCUUGGCAAGUGGAUGGUGAAAUCCCUCCGGCUUAACCGAGGAACUGCCGUCCAAACUGCUUCGCUUGAGACCGGGAGAGGUGAGUGGAAUUCCCAGUGUAGCGGUGAAAUGCGUAGAUAUUGGGAGGAACACCAGUGGCCGAAGGCGGCUCACUGGACCGGUACUGACGCUGAUGCGCGAAAGCGUGGGAGCAACGGG
rnacentral:rRNA from 1 species